GCGCUCUUAGCUCAGCUGGAUAGAGCAACGGUUUUCUAAACCGUGGGUCGGAGGUUCGAGUCCUCCAGAGCGCGCCA
rnacentral:tRNA from 2 species